rnacentral:antisense_RNA from 1 species
GCUUAUGGCGGCUUUGCGUGGGGCACCUUCGGGUGCGCCGGUUUUGCGAGCUCACCGGUCUGCUAACCCGCGUCAAAGCUGCCACCCUU